CUGCCUUCUUCCUGUCCACUGCCAAGAGCAUCUGCCUUGCAAAAGGCUUUGGGCCAGAUCAUCACCUUGCAGAACCUGCUUCACUGGGAAAGAUGCCGGGCAGCCUUGGGGGAGCUGUAGGUGGGAGCACCAGCAAAGGCCAUAGGAAAUGUUCUCUCAAGAAGGGCCACAGAGAAAAAGAAGAGCUUAGCUCCUUUCCAGACUGUCCUGGCUAUGAGGACCCGUGAGUCCCCAACUCUGCCAUCUAUCUUGUCAAGUUUAAUGAAGCCGUUUCCUAACAUCCUUACCUGCUGUUUGUAAGAAAGGCUACCGAAUCCCUCUCUCUACCAUGAAUUUAGUUCUUGAUGUACUUUAACUGACGUAAAACAGUAACGGCACAGAAGCACUGGAUGUGUGGUCAGGGGAAGAAGGCGGUCCGACUGUGAUGCCGGAAUUCAGAGAAUUAACCAGAGAGAUGGCGGUUCCCGGAGGGCCUGUGUUCUCUCGGUCCUAUCAUGUUGCACAGCCACCACCAUUAGCAGUACUUCACACGUUCUUUGUAUCACCUGUGUUAAGAGGUAGAGAAGUGACUUCUGGCCACCAUGCAUGAAAAGCAACCGAAUCAAAAUCCAGACAGCAACAAUCUCCUGGGAGAUGUCC